GAUGAACGCUGGCGGCGUGCCUAAUACAUGCAAGUCGAGCGAACAGACGAGGAGCUUGCUCCUCUGACGUUAGCGGCGGACGGGUGAGUAACACGUGGAUAACCUACCUAUAAGACUGGGAUAACUUCGGGAAACCGGAGCUAAUACCGGAUAAUAUAUUGAACCGCAUGGUUCAAUAGUGAAAGACGGUUUUGCUGUCACUUAUAGAUGGAUCCGCGCCGCAUUAGCUAGUUGGUAAGGUAACGGCUUACCAAGGCAACGAUGCUUAGCCGACCUGAGAGGGUGAUCGGCCACACUGGAACUGAGACACGGUCCAGACUCCUACGGGAGGCAGCAGUAGGGAAUCUUCCGCAAUGGGCGAAAGCCUGACGGAGCAACGCCGCGUGAGUGAUGAAGGUCUUCGGAUCGUAAAACUCUGUUAUUAGGGAAGAACAAAUGUGUAAGUAACUAUGCACGUCUUGACGGUACCUAAUCAGAAAGCCACGGCUAACUACGUG
rnacentral:rRNA from 1 species